rnacentral:ncRNA from 1 species
UUCUUCAGGGCGGGGUGCAAGUCCCCACCGGCGGUAAAGCCCGCGAGCCGUAAGGCAUGAUCCGGUGAGAUUCCGGGGCCGACAGUACAGUCUGGAUGGAAGAAGAA